AUCGUAUUUGUUGUGAGCCGGCCCCGGUGCUGCCAGAGCUGCGGGCACCGGCGCAUGCUCCCUUCCGAGUGAGUAUGCUGAGAGAGGAAGUCUCUGUGGUGAGCCGCGCCCGGAUUAGCCCGGGUGGAGGGCACUGGUGCAUGUAACACUCUGCUCAGUAUGCCAAAAAUGAAGUCUCCGUGCUGAGCCGCGCUGGAAUAUAUCCAGGCUCCUUUCUCCAGCCAAUGCUUCCUUGGGGUGAAUAUAAUGAUCCGGGAAGCUCCAUGGUGAGCCGUUCCCAGGUCUGCCAGGGCGCCGGGCUUUGGGCUCGCUUUCCUUGAGUAUACCGAUACCGAUCUGAAAAAUCGUAUUUGUUGUGACCGGCCCCGGUGUUGUCCGGGCUGCGAGCACCGGCGCCUGCUCCGUUCAGAGUGAGAAUGCCCAGAGAGGAAGUCUCGGAGGUGAGCCCUGCGCGAAUCUGCACAGACUCCUUUCUCCAGCCAAUGCUCACUUCUGAGUGAGUAUAACGAUCCGAGUAUACCGAUACCGAUCUGAAAAAUCGUAUUUGUUGUGAGCCGUGCCCGGGUUUACACGGGUUGCAGGCACCUAGGCAUGACCCUUUCUAGUGAGUAUGCAGAGAUAGGAAGUCUCUGUGGUGAGCUGUGCCCGGGUCAGCCCGGGUAGCGGGCACUGGUGGAUGCACCCUUCUGCUGAGAUGCGAAAAAUGAAGUCUCCGUGCUGAGCCUCGCGCGAAUAUAUCCAGGCUCCUUUCUCCAGCCAAUGCUUCCUUGAGGUGAGUA